AGCACAGAGGACCCUUGCUCCUUGGGUGCGCGAGUGAGCGUACGGGUGAGGAAUACAUCGGAAUCUACUCUGUCGUGGGGGAUAACGUAGGGAAACUUACGCUAAUACCGCAUACGACCUACGGGUGAAAGCAGGGGACCUUCGGGCCUUGCGCGAUUGAAUGAGCCGAUGUCGGAUUAGCUAGUUGGCGGGGUAAAGGCCCACCAAGGCGUACGAUCCGUAGCUGGUCUGAGAGGAUGAUCAGCCACACUGGAACUGAGACACGGUCCAGACUCCUACGGGAGGCAGCAGUGGGGAAUAUUGGACAAUGGGCGCAAGCCUGAUCCAGCCAUACCGCGUGGGUGAAGAAGGCCUUCGGGUUGUAAAGCCCUUUUGUUGGGAAAGAAAUCCAGCCGGCUAAUACCUGGUUGGGAUGACGUCCCAAAG
rnacentral:rRNA from 1 species